rnacentral:rRNA from 1 species
GACAGAGGUGGCCGAGCGUUAGGCGGAAUCACUGGGCUUAAAGCGUGUGUAGGCGGACCGUUAAGUGCCUUGUGAAAUCCCACGGCUUAACCGUGGAACGGCUGGGUAUACUGGCGAUCUUGAGCCACCUAGGGGCGAGCGGAACAAAUGGUGGAGCGGUGAAAUGCGUAGAUAUCAUUUGGAACGCCAACGGUGAAACAGCUCGCUGGGGGUGUGCUGACGCUGAGACACGAAAGCCAGGGAGCGAACGGG